UACGAAGGGGGCUAGCGUUGCUCGGAAUUACUGGGCGUAAAGGGCGCGUAGGCGGACAGCUUAGUCAGAGGUGAAAGCCCCGGGCUCAACCUGGGAACCGCGCUUGAGACUGGCACGCUAGAGUUCGGGAGAGGAUGGUGGAAUUCCCAGUGUAGAGGUGAAAUUCGUAGAUAUUGGGGAGAACACCGAUGGCGAAGGCAGCCAUCUGGACCGACACUGACGCUGAGGCGCGAAAGCGUGGGGAGCAAACAGG
rnacentral:rRNA from 1 species